GCUAAUGUGGUGCGGGGAGCAGUGGUAGUGAGAAGGGGGGAAGCGGUAAGCGGAAGUACUGGGCGGAAAGCGCGCGUAGGUGGUUUUGGAAGGUGGAGGUGAAAUCCCCGGGCGCAACCUGGGAACUGCCUCCAAAACUGCAUGACUAGAGUACGGUAGAGGGUGGUGGAAGUUCCUGUGUAGCGGUGAAAUGCGUAGAUAUAGGAAGGAACACCAGUGGCGAAGGCGACCACCUGGACUGAUACUGACACUGAGGUGCGAAAGCGUGGGGAGCGAACAGGAUUAGAUACCCGUGUAGUC
rnacentral:rRNA from 1 species